CACGGCUCUGCGUCUGUUGGGCUCCCCCAAACACACUAAAUGAGCAGUUCCCUGAGCUGGACAGUUAUGCGGUGAGGACAGAGGGCAGGUACCCACGUUCAAUGGAGCGGCCCAGGCUUUGUCACCACAGGAAGCCUGGCUGGUGUGGGCCGGAGGGGAGCUGCCUCCCCUGCCCACCACAGCCCCACCCUCUCAGGCCUGCGGGCACGGGCAGAGUUGGGUUCACACUGAACAUAUCUUCUCCAUGUUAUACCUUUGGGGCAACAUGGAAGAAGGGACUUUACAGAGACUCUGCCCUGCCCGCACUGCAAGUCCUGCCUUGCCUGGCUUUGCCCUCCCUGCUGCUUGUCUAGGCGCACAGUUCAACUCCUCUGAGUGGGAGGUAAAAUGGUGUGGGUUAGCGGCCCAACGGAGGCAAAGCAGAAAGAUGGUCUCCUGUUACCACUUCAUCUGAUUGCCUGUGCGCUGUUUCAGAACUUUCUUCAUUCUUCAUCGUCAAGUCCUCGCUCUCUUCGGGGCCUGGCACGUGGUUCCGUGUACAAGUCCUGUCUGCAUCCACCCUUUGGCUUGUGGUCACUGCUACUGUCCAUGGAGUCCCCACCUUCCUCAGCUGCUAAGCUUUCCUUCCCUCAGAAGUCACUGCUGCAGACGUUGCUCCCUCCACUCAUUGGCCUGGCCUGCCUCCUGCCACCAUCUCUCAUCCGAAAGCCACUGUGGUACCCCACAACUCUCCCACAGCUUCAGCCGCCCAGCUGGUGGCCUCGACUUCCCUCCCCAGCUGGAGUCAUCCUUGAUUUACAACUUCACGGUCUGAAUAAUCCCCAUACACACAGCAGCUUGAGGUUCACCGCACUCCCCCAGCACAUUCACAGCUGCUGGCAGCCAUUCAUGACUACCUAGAGCCUGAGAAGGAAGCCAGCCUGGAACACAGAGCCGAGAGGGAGAGAAGCUGGGUCCCAGUGGUGUUCGAAUCCAUAUAGCAUGCCAUCCACCUUUGCUAAGAAAUUUUCUGACUAGGAAGUAGAAUUUUAGAUUUGGAGAGCUGGAAGGAACUACAGAAGAAACUAAUGUCCAGAGAAGAAGGGAACUUGUUGGUUCAUGUGCCUCAUCUCAGUAAAUGACACCAAAAUCCCCGGACACUCAAGCCAGAGCUUGGUCCACCAACCGCAAUUCUUCCCAAGUCCUGCUAACGUCGCCUCCUAAAUAAAUCACAUGCACAACCAAUUCUCUCUCAUGGUGACAAAUAUAAUAACUUCAUCUAAGCCA